AUGAACGCUGGCGGCGUGCCUAAUACCUGCAAGUCGAGCGAACGGACGAGAAGCUUGCUUCUCUGAUGUUAGCGGCGGACGGGUGAGUAACACGUGGAUAACCUACCUAUAAGACUGGGAUAACUUCGGGAAACCGGAGCUAAUACCGGAUAAUAUUUUGAACCGCAUGGUUCAAAAGUGAAAGACGGUCUUGCUGUCACUUAUAGAUGGAUCCGCGCUGCAUUAGCUAGUUGGUAAGGUAACGGCUUACCAAGGCAACGAUGCAUAGCCGACCUGAGAGGGUGAUCGGCCACACUGGAACUGAGACACGGUCCAGACUCCUACGGGAGGCAGCAGUAGGGAAUCUCCCGCAAUGGGCGAAAGCCUGACGGAGCAACGCCGCGUGAGUGAUGAAGGUCUUCGGAUCGUAAAACUCUGUUAUUAGGGAAGAACAUAUGUGUAAGUAACUGUGCACAUCUUGACGGUACCUAAUCAGAAAGCCACGGCUAACUACGUG
rnacentral:rRNA from 1 species